GUGGUUCAUGGAUUCAGUCAGAAGUCAGCUGGCAGAUUUUUCUACUCCAUGUGAGAACAACCAGGCAUCAACUGAUAAAGCUCCCAACAGUGCUUCCACAUUCCUGCUGCCAGACAAUUUCUGAGAUGCAUGCUGGACAAUUCUCUGAGUGCAAUAUAGAGUAGGUAAGAGCAGAGUCUCUGGAGCCAGCUCAUGAACCAGAUUUGCCAGUGCUCAUCCUUCUACCUGGACCAAACCUGUCUGUUCUUGGGCUGAUAAAAAUAGCCUCUGUGGCCUCCCCAGUGGCACAGUGGUUGAGCACUGGGUUGUGAAGCUGCCUGAAGCCUCUGCGGCGCCUGUUUGAUCCCCGGCUGCUCCCCGGCCACCGGAGGAGGGUCCCACAUGGCACGCAGACCUCU